GAUGAACGCUGGCGGCGUGCUUAACACAUGCAAGUCGAACGAAGCACUUUGAAACAAUCCUCCGGGUGCGUUUCAUUGUGACUUAGUGGCGGACGGGUGAGUAACGCGUGGGUAACCUGCCUCAUGCAGGGGGAUAACAGUUAGAAAUGACUGCUAAUACCGCAUAAGCGCACAGUACCGCAUGGUACAGUGUGAAAAGAUUUAUCAGCAUGAGAUGGACCCGCGUCUGAUUAGCUAGUUGGUGAGGUAACGGCUCACCAAGGCGACGAUCAGUAGCCGACUUGAGAGAGUGAUCGGCCACAUUGGGACUGAGACACGGCCCAA
rnacentral:rRNA from 1 species